UCUCAACUUUACACAUGCAAGACUCCCCGCCCCGGUGAAAACACCCUCACUUGUCUUCUAGAUAGUAAGGAGUAGGUAUCAGGCUUUACAGCCCAAGACAUCCAGCCAAGCCACACCCCCACGGGUAUACAGCAGUGGUUAAUAUUAAAUAUUUGCGUAAGCAAGAUUUAGUUAUAGUCAAGACGGUCGGCCAAUUUCGUGCCAGCCGCCGCGGUUACACGAAAGACUUAAACUGAUAGAUUAUCGGCGUAAAGCGUGACUAAGACCCUCAACUCACUAAAGUUAAACUAUAAUCAAGCAGUUAUAUGCAAACAUUAUAAGGAAGCCCAAUUACGAAAGUAACUUUACCAAGCCUGAAAUCACGAAAACCAGGACACAAACUGGAAUUAGAUACUCCACUAUGCCUGGUCUUAAACUUUGACUAAUUACACUUACAUCCGCCAGGGUACUACGAGCGUCAGCUUAAAACCCAAGAGACUUGGCGGUGCUCUAUAUUCACCUAGAGGAGCCUGUCCUAUAAUCGAUGAUCCACGAUUCACCUCACCACUUAUUGCCAAGUCCGCCUAUAUACCGCCGUCGCCAAUCUACCCCUUGAGGGGUAAACAGUAGGUCCAAGGGCUUAUUGCCAACACGUCAGGUCAAGGUGUAGCUAAUGAAGUGGGAAGAGAUGGGCUACAUUUUCUAUUUUAGAACAUCACGAAAGACCACCUAUGAAAUCUGGUCAAAAGGAGGAUUUAGUAGUAAAAAGAAACCAGCAAGUUCUUUUAAAAUCGAUACUAGAGCGCGUACACACCGCCCGUCAC
rnacentral:rRNA from 1 species